CCAAUCAGAUAUAACUGCACCCAAACGCUUCAGUAAUGGUUGCGAUUGAUCAAACGUUGCCAGAUGCUGUCCUGUUGGAAAUUCUUCUUUACGUGAUCCUGGAGGAGGGUGAUGCUACAAUAUUAAGUCUGUCUUUGGUUUGUUCCAAAUUCAGAAGUCUGCUGUACUGUAUACAGACUCCUUUCGAAAGAGGGCACAAUCCAGCUGGCUUGACUGAGUGGAACAAAAUGGAGAACAAGUCUAAGCCAUGUCAGGAAUUCAACAAAAUGUACACCUUGCAGACACUGCGAC